GACGAACGCUGGCGGCGUGCUUAACACAUGCAAGUCGAACGAUGAACCGGUUUCGGCCGGGGAUUAGUGGCGAACGGGUGAGUAACACGUGGGCAAUCUGCCCUGCACUCUGGGAUAAGCCCGGGAAACUGGGUCUAAUACCGGAUACGACACUCCGAGACAUCUUGGGGUGUGGAAAGUUCCGGCGGUGCAGGAUGAGCCCGCGGCCUAUCAGCUUGUUGGUGGGGUAAUGGCCUACCAAGGCGACGACGGGUAGCCGGCCUGAGAGGGUGACCGGCCACACUGGGACUGAGACACGGCCCAGACUCCUACGGGAGGCAGCAGUGGGGAAUAUUGCACAAUGGGCGAAAGCCUGAUGCAGCGACGCCGCGUGAGGGAUGACGGCCUUCGGGUUGUAAACCUCUUUCAGCAGGGAAGAAGCGAAAGUGACGGUACCUGCAGAAGAAGCACCGGCUAACUACGUG
rnacentral:rRNA from 1 species